rnacentral:rRNA from 1 species
UACAGAGGUCCCAAGCGUUGUUCGGAUUUACUGGGCGUAAAGGGUGCGUAGGUGGUUGGGUAAGUCUGAUGUGAAAUCUCCGGGCUCAACCCGGAAAUGGCAUUGGAUACUAUUCGACUAGAGGGUUGGAGGGGGGACUGGAAUACUUGGUGUAGCAGUGAAAUGCGUAGAGAUCCGGAGGAACACCAGUGGCGAAGGCGACACGCUGGGCCGUACCUGACACUGAUGCGCGACAGCAUGGGGAGCAAACAGG